rnacentral:tRNA from 1 species
CGCGGAGUGGAGCAGUUGGCAGCUCGUCGGGCUCAUAACCCGAAGGUCGUAGGUUCAAGGCCUUCCUCCGCAACCA